AUUUUUUGGUUUCUCUUCGAAUCUAAUAAUGCUUUCGCUUUUUGCUAGAGUUUUCGUGAAGUGGAACUUCCAUGAGUUUCAAUACAUUUUUGAGGCUCUGCCCAUACAGGGCU